AUGGGAGGUGAGGGCAUGGGAGGUGAGGGCUUGGAGAUACUGAAUGCAGGCAACUCUUUAAGGAAAACUGGUUGUGAAGAGAUUUGGGGGGUGGUUGGGCAGAAGGGGUGCAGUGAUUGGAGAAGCUGGGCUUACGGGAGAGGCUGCUUGUGUGAUUCUUCAGGAUGUUUAACCAGAGAUGGGAAGGAAGGGGUAGAAAAGAGAAGCAGAAGGGUGCCUUUCACCCUUUCCCAAAUGCAGCCACAGUCAGACCUACGUUUCCUGCCGGACCCGGACCCGGGAUACCUACACACAUGGACACACACACACCACACACACACACACACACGAAACCAGGUUCCUGACGCUGGAUGUGACACCCUGAUAUUUUGUCUCCUGUUUUACUUAGGUCAACCGCUGGUCACAACACCCCAAACUGGAUUUGUGUCUCUUGAACACUUCACGAUGGUCCAUUUGACAAACGUGGAGCCUAAGAUGAAAGAGUUGGGAGCACAGUCUUCAUUUUCCACAGCUCAGAGAGGCAAACCAAGUUAUCCAAGCCACACAGCACAUCAGCAGAGCAGCCGGGAUGGGUUGGGCAGCAGUUUCCCACUCCCAGGGCCCAGUGCCCCUGCUCUCCACUCAGCAGUGUCCCCACAGUCCUUGACUUAGGUAGGAUGGUGGGGGUGGUGCCUGGAUUGCAGCUUUCUGAAGAGAAGUCUUGCCACACUUUUCUUUUCUUAUUUCCCUGGAGUGGAGCAAACAGAAUGUCUGUGGCCUCGGAAAGAAGUGGGUCCAUCAGGCCGAGGAGUACCAGUUGUAGACAUUGCCUGUCUGUGAGCAUGUCUGCUGUCCAUGGAAGGCAAGUGUAUGUUCGGGACCCAGUCCGCCCUAGCUCCCACACACAGAUAGCAGACAGGGUGCGGGAAGUAGGGAAUUCGUAUCUGUUGAAGUGUGUGUGAGUGCAAGUGCAUACGCAAAGAUAUCAAGAGGCACAGAUGCGUGUGCCAACACUAACAUACAAGCCCUCAUUCAGACUCACAUAAAUGUCCCAUCACAGGUAUAGGCACACCCACGAAUAGACUCCUAUUUAUAUCUAUAUGCUUACCCAUUUAUACUUGUGCACACCUCCAAAAAGACCUACACAUUUUAUUAUUUAUUUAUUUAUUUAUUUAUUUUUCAAAAUAUGAAAUUUAUUGUCAAAUUGGUUUCCAUACAACACCCAGUGCUCAUCCCAAAAGGUGCCCUUUUCAAUGCCCAUCACCUACCCUCCCCUCCCUCCCACCCCCCAUCAACCCUCAGUUUGUUCUCAGUUUUUAAGAGUCUCUUAUGCUUUGGCUCUCUUCCACUCUAACCUCUUUUUUUUUUUUUUUUUCCUUCCCCUCCCCCAUGGGUUUCUGUUAAGUUUCUCAGGAUCCACAUAAGAGUGAAAACAUACGGUAUCUAAGACCUACACAUUUUAAACAAGCAUAAAGCAUCCACGUACGGGUACAUAUUUUGGGUCAUAAUAAAAUCUGCAUACAUUAAGUGUUUACUCUUAUG
rnacentral:lncRNA from 1 species